GGGUUGUGAGGUUAAGCGACUAAGCGUACACGGUGGAUGCCCUGGCAGUCAGAGGCGAUGAAGGACGUGCUAAUCUGCGAAAAGCGUCGGUAAGGUGAUAUGAACCGUUAUAACCGGCGAUGUCCGAAUGGGGAAACCCAGUGCAAUUCGUUGCACUAUCGUUAACUGAAUACAUAGGUUAACGAGGCGAACCGGGGGAACUGAAACAUCUAAGUACCCCGAGGAAAAGAAAUCAACCGAGAUUCCCCCAGUAGCGGCGAGCGAACGGGGAGCAGCCCAGAGUCUGAAUCAGCUUGUGUGUUAGUGGAACGGUCUGGAAAGUCCGACGGUACAGGGUGAUAGUCCCGUACACCAAAAUGCACAGGUUGUGAACUCGAAGAGUAGGGCGGGACACGUGGUAUCCUGUCUGAAUAUGGGGGGACCAUCCUCCAAGGCUAAAUACUCCUGACUGACCGAUAGUGAACCAGUACCGUGAGGGAAAGGCGAAAAGAACCCCGGCGAGGGGAGUGAAAAAGAACCUGAAACCGUGUACGUACAAGCAGUGGGAGCACCUUCGGGUGUGACUGCGUACCUUUUGUAUAAUGGGUCAGCGACUUAUAUUCUGUAGCAAGGUUAACCGUAUAGGGGAGCCGCAGGGAAACCGAGUCUUAACUGGGCGUUAAGUUGCAGGGUAUAGACCCGAAACCCGGUGAUCUAGCCAUGGGCAGGUUGAAGGUUGGGUAACACUAACUGGAGGACCGAACCGACUAAUGUUGAAAAAUUAGCGGAUGACUUGUGGCUGGGGGUGAAAGGCCAAUCAAACCGGGAGAUAGCUGGUUCUCCCCGAAAGCUAUUUAGGUAGCGCCUCGUGAAUUCAUCUUCGGGGGUAGAGCACUGUUUCGGCUAGGGGGUCAUCCCGACUUACCAACCCGAUGCAAACUACGAAUACCGAAGAAUGUUAUCACGGGAGACACACGGCGGGUGCUAACGUCCGUCGUGAAGAGGGAAACAACCCAGACCGCCAGCUAAGGUCCCAAAGUCAUGGUUAAGUGGGAAACGAUGUGGGAAGGCACAGACAGCCAGGAUGUUGGCUUAGAAGCAGCCAUCAUUUAAAGAAAGCGUAAUAGCUCACUGGUCGAGUCGGCCUGCGCGGAAGAUGUAACGGGGCUAAACCAUGCACCGAAGCUGCGGCAGCGACACUAUGUGUUGUUGGGUAGGGGAGCGUUCUGUAAGCCUGCGAAGGUGUGCUGUGAGGCAUGCUGGAGGUAUCAGAAGUGCGAAUGCUGACAUAAGUAACGAUAAAGCGGGUGAAAAGCCCGCUCGCCGGAAGACCAAGGGUUCCUGUCCAACGUUAAUCGGGGCAGGGUGAGUCGACCCCUAAGGCGAGGCCGAAAGGCGUAGUCGAUGGGAAACAGGUUAAUAUUCCUGUACUUGGUGUUACUGCGAAGGGGGGACGGAGAAGGCUAUGUUAGCCGGGCGACGGUUGUCCCGGUUUAAGCAUGUAGGCUGGUUGUCCAGGCAAAUCCGGAUAAUCAAGGCUGAGGUGUGAUGACGAGGCACUACGGUGCUGAAGUAACAAAUGCCCUGCUUCCAGGAAAAGCCUCUAAGCAUCAGGUAACAUCAAAUCGUACCCCAAACCGACACAGGUGGUCAGGUAGAGAAUACCAAGGCGCUUGAGAGAACUCGGGUGAAGGAACUAGGCAAAAUGGUGCCGUAACUUCGGGAGAAGGCACGCUGGUGUGUAGGUGAAGUCCCUGCGGAUGGAGCUGAGACCAGUCGAAGAUACCAGCUGGCUGCAACUGUUUAUUAAAAACACAGCACUGUGCAAACACGAAAGUGGACGUAUACGGUGUGACGCCUGCCCGGUGCCGGAAGGUUAAUUGAUGGGGUUAUCCGUAAGGAGAAGCUCUUGAUCGAAGCCCCGGUAAACGGCGGCCGUAACUAUAACGGUCCUAAGGUAGCGAAAUUCCUUGUCGGGUAAGUUCCGACCUGCACGAAUGGCGUAAUGAUGGCCAGGCUGUCUCCACCCGAGACUCAGUGAAAUUGAACUCGCUGUGAAGAUGCAGUGUACCCGCGGCAAGACGGAAAGACCCCGUGAACCUUUACUAUAGCUUGACACUGAACAUUGAGCCUUGAUGUGUAGGAUAGGUGGGAGGCUUUGAAGCGUGGACGCCAGUCUGCGUGGAGCCAACCUUGAAAUACCACCCUUUAAUGUUUGAUGUUCUAACGUUGGCCCCUGACCGGGGUUGCGGACAGUGUCUGGUGGGUAGUUUGACUGGGGCGGUCUCCUCCCAAAGCGUAACGGAGGAGCACGAAGGUUAGCUAAUCCUGGUCGGACAUCAGGAGGUUAGUGCAAUGGCAUAAGCUAGCUUGACUGCGAGCGUGACGGCGCGAGCAGGUGCGAAAGCAGGUCAUAGUGAUCCGGUGGUUCUGAAUGGAAGGGCCAUCGCUCAACGGAUAAAAGGUACUCCGGGGAUAACAGGCUGAUACCGCCCAAGAGUUCAUAUCGACGGCGGUGUUUGGCACCUCGAUGUCGGCUCAUCACAUCCUGGGGCUGAAGUAGGUCCCAAGGGUAUGGCUGUUCGCCAUUUAAAGUGGUACGCGAGCUGGGUUUAGAACGUCGUGAGACAGUUCGGUCCCUAUCUGCCGUGGGCGCUGGAGAAUUGAGGGGGGCUGCUCCUAGUACGAGAGGACCGGAGUGGACGCAUCACUGGUGUUCGGGUUGUCAUGCCAAUGGCACUGCCCGGUAGCUAAAUGCGGAAGAGAUAAGUGCUGAAAGCAUCUAAGCACGAAACUUGCCCCGAGAUGAGUUCUCCCUGAGACUUUAAGUCUCCUGAAGGAACGUU
rnacentral:rRNA from 1 species